rnacentral:rRNA from 1 species
GGGUGAGUAACACGUAGGGAACCUGCCCGCGCACCGGGAAUACGCUCUGGAAACGGAGAACAAAUCCCGAUGUACAGGAAGGAGGCAUCUUCUUUCUGUGAAACAUCCUUUAGGGGAUGGGGCGCGGAUGGACCUGCGGUGCAUUAGUUGGUUGGCGGGGUAAAGGCCCACCAAGACGAUGAUGCAUAGCCGGCCUGAGAGGGCGGACGGCCACAUUGGGACUGAGACACGGCCCAGACUCCUGCGGGAGGCAGCAGUAGGGAAUUUUCGUCAAUGGGCGCAAGCCUGAACGAGCGAUGCCGCGUGAGUGAAGAAGGCCUUCGGGUCGUAAAGCUCUGUUGCGGGGGAAAAAAGGCAGCAUCAGGAAAUGGGUGCUGACUGAUGGUGCCCCGCCAGAAAGUCACGGCUAACUACGUACCAGCAGCCGCGGUAAUACGUAGGUGGCGAGCGUUAUCCGGAAUGAUUGGGCGUAAAGGGUGCGCAGGCGGUCCUGCAAGUCUGGAGUGAAACGCAUGAGCUCAACUCAUGCAUGGCCUUGGAAACUGGAGGACUGGAGAGCAGGAGAGGGCGGUGGAACUCCAUGUGUAGCGGUAAAAUGCGUAGAUAUAUGGAAGAACACCAGUGGCGAAGGCGGCCGCCUGGCCUGUUGCUGACGCUGAGGCACGAAAGCGUGGGGAGCAAAUAGGAUUAGAUACCCUAGUAGUCCACGCCGUAA